AGAGUUUGAUCAUGGCUCAGAAUCAACGCUGGCGGCGCGCUUAACACAUGCAAGUCGCACGAGAAAGGGGAGCAAUCCCUGAGUAAAGUGGCGUACGGGUGAGUAACACGUGGAUCAUCUACCUUUUAGUGGGGAAUACCCCCGGGAAACUGGGGACAAUACCGCAUAAGCUCGUGAGAGGAAAGCAGCAAUGCGCUGAAAGAGGAGUCCGCGGCUGAUUAGCUAGUUGGUGAGGUAACGGCCCACCAAGGCGAAGAUCGGUAGCCGGCCUGAGAGGGCACACGGCCACACUGGCACUGAAACACGGGCCAGACUCCUACGGGAGGCAGCAGUGGGGAAUCUUGCACAAUGGGGGAAACCCUGAUGCAGCGACGCCGCGUGAGUGAUGAAGCCCCUCGGGGUGUAAAGCUCUUUCGACGGGAAAGAUAAUGACGGUACCCGAAGAAGAAGCUGCGGCUAACUACGUGCCAGCAGCCGCGGUAAUACGUAGGCAGCAAGCGUUGUUCGGAAUUACUGGGCGUAAAGAGUGUGUAGGCGGUGCUCUAAGUCUGUCGUGAAAUCUCCCGGCUUAACUGGGAGGGUGCGGCGAAAACUAGAAUGCUAGAGGGUGGGAGAGGUAAGCGGAAUUCCUGGUGUAGCGGUGAAAUGCGUAGAUAUCAGGAGGAACACCUGUGGUGUAGACAGCUUACUGGACCACUUCUGACGCUGAGACACGAAAGCGUGGGUAGCAAACAGGAUUAGAUACCCUAGUAGUCC
rnacentral:rRNA from 1 species